rnacentral:rRNA from 1 species
AGAUUGAACGCUGGCGGCAGGCCUAACACAUGCAAGUCGAGCGGCAGCACGGGUACUUGUACCUGGUGGCGAGCGGCGGACGGGUGAGUAAUGCCUAGGAAUCUGCCUGGUAGUGGGGGAUAACGCUCGGAAACGGACGCUAAUACCGCAUACGUCCUUCGGGAGAAAGCGAGGGGACCUU